GCGGGUGUGGCUGAGUGGCAAGGCACCGGCCUGCAAAGCCGUUUACGCCGGUUCGAAUCCGGUCAUCCGCUC
rnacentral:tRNA from 1 species